AUUGAACGCUGGCGGCGUGCUUUACACAUGCAAGUCGAGCGGCAGCAUGACCUUCGGGUCGAUGGCGAGCGGCGAACGGGUGAGUAAUACAUCGGAACGUACCUUUUAGUGGGGGAUAACGCAUCGAAAGAUGUGCUAAUACCGCAUAAUCUCUGAGGAGGAAAGGCGGGGAUCACGUAAGUGACCUGUCGCUGAAAGAGCGGCCGAUGGUCGAUUAGCUAGUUGGCGGGGUAAAAGCCCACCAAGGCGAUGAUCGAUAGCGGGUCUGAGAGGACGAUCCGUCACACUGGGACUGAGACACGGACCAGACUCCUACGGGAGGCAGCAGUGAGGAAUAUUGGGACAAUGGGCGCAAGCCUGAUCCAGCCAUGCCGCGUGAGUGAAGAAGGCCUUCGGGUUGUAAAGC
rnacentral:rRNA from 1 species